UACGGAGGAUCCGAGCGUUAUCCGGAUUUAUUGGGUUUAAAGGGAGCGUAGGUGGAUUGUUAAGUCAGUUGUGAAAGUUUGCGGCUCAACCGUAAAAUUGCAGUUGAAACUGGCAGUCUUGAGUACAGUAGAGGUGGGCGGAAUUCGUGGUGUAGCGGUGAAAUGCUUAGAUAUCACGAAGAACUCCGAUUGCGAAGGCAGCUCACUGGACUGCAACUGACACUGAGGCUUGAAAGUGUGGGUAUCAAACAGG
rnacentral:rRNA from 1 species